rnacentral:rRNA from 1 species
AUUGAACGCUGGCGGCAUGCCUUACACAUGCAAGUCGAACGAGUGGCGGACGUGUGAGUAAUGUCUGUGAAACUGACUGAUGGAGGGGGAUAACUACUGGAAACCGUUGCCAAUACAGCAUACCAUCAGAUUUGCCCAGUUGGACAUAGCGUGUUGUGGGGGUAACGGCUCACCAAGGAGACGAUCCCUAGCUGGUCUGAGAGGAUGACCAGCCACACUGGGACUGAGACACGGUCCAGACUCCUACGGGAGGCAGCAGUGGGGAAUAUUGCACAAUGGGCGAAAGCCUGAUGCAGCCAUGCCGCGUGUAUGAAGAAGGCCUUCGGGUUGUAAAGUACUUUCAGCGGGGAGGCGUUACCCGCAGAAGAAGCACCGGCUAACUCCGUGCCAGCAGCCGCGGUAAUUC